AGUGGAACAGCUAGAUUGUAUGGUAAUUCAGGUUUUAAUUUUUUGAGGAACUGCCAUUACUGUUUUCCACAGUGGCUAUACCAUUUUUCAUUCUCAUCAGCAGU
rnacentral:pre_miRNA from 1 species